UACGGAGGGUGCAAGCGUUAUCCGGAUUCACUGGGUUUAAAGGGUGCGUAGGUGGGUUGGUAAGUCAGUGGUGAAAUCUUCGAGCUUAACUCGGAAACUGCCAUUGAUACUAUCAGUCUUGAAUAUUGUGGAGGUUAGCGGAAUAUGUCAUGUAGCGGUGAAAUGCUUAGAUAUGACAUAGAACACCAAUUGCGAAGGCAGCUGGCUACACAUAUAUUGACACUGAGGCACGAAAGCGUGGGGAUCAAACAGGAUUAGAUACCCUGGUAGUCCACGCCCUAAACUAUGGAUACUCGACAUACGCGAUACACUGUGUGUGUCUGAGCGAAAGCAUUAAGUAUCCCACCUGGGAAGUACGAUCGCAAGAUUGAA
rnacentral:rRNA from 1 species